rnacentral:rRNA from 1 species
CAUGAAGUUGGAAUUGCUAGUAAUCGCGGAUCAGCAUGCCGCGGUGAAUACGUUCCCUGGCCUUGUACACACCGCCCGUCACACCAUGGGAGCCGGUAAUACCCGAAGUCAGUAGCCUAACCGCGAAGGGGGGCGCUGCCGAAGGUAGGAUUGGCGACUGGGGUGAAGUCGUAACAAGGUAGC